rnacentral:misc_RNA from 1 species
UUUCCGUAGGUGAACCUGCGGAAGGAUCAUUAUUGAAUGAACUUGGUGUGGUUGUAGCUGGCCCUCUCGUCGGGGGCAUGUGCACACCCGCCAUCUUUAUCUCUCCACCUGUGCACAUCUUGUAGACCUGGAUAGACUUUCCGAGGCAACUCGGUCGGGAGGACUGCUGUGCGUCACUGCCGGCUUUCCUUGCAUAUCUAGGCCUAUGUUUUCAUAUACCCCAUAGUAUGUAACAGAAUGUAUCAUUGGGCCUCGUGCCUAUAAACUAUAUACAACUUUCAGCAACGGAUCUCUUGGCUCUC